rnacentral:rRNA from 1 species
GAUGAACGCUGGCUACAGGCUUAACACAUGCAAGUCGAGGGGAAACGACGGGGAAGCUUGCUUCCCCGGGCGUCGACCGGCGCACGGGUGAGUAACGCGUAUCCAACCUGCCUCUAACUGAGGGAUAACCCGUCGAAAGUCGGCCUAAUACCUCAUGGUAUCGUCUGCGGGCAUCCAACGACGAUUAAAGAUUUCAUCGGUCAGGGAUGGGGAUGCGUCUGAUUAGCUUGUUGGCGGGGUAACGGCCCACCAAGGCUACGAUCAGUAGGGGUUCUGAGAGGAAGGUCCCCCACAUUGGAACUGAGACACGGUCCAAACUCCUACGGGAGGCAGCAGUGAGGAAUAUUGGUCAAUGGGCGAGAGCCUGAACCAGCCAAGUAGCGUGCAGGAAGACGGCCCUAUGGGUUGUAAACUGCUUUUAUGCGGGGAUAAAGUGAGGGACGUGUCCCUCAUUGCAGGUACCGCAUGAAUAAGGACCGGCUAAUUCCGUG